rnacentral:sRNA from 1 species
CUUUUUUAUAUUUCUUAUUAAAGUCUCAUCUUUCAAAGCGUAUACAUCAUACGUCCCGAAAACAGUUUUUUAAAUGAAGAUAAGUGCAUAGAGCCCAAACUCAAAAUAAGAGAAAAGGAACUUGGCGACCUAGCUUUGGGUUUCGAACUUCACGUACUCUUCUGUCAUGAUGGCAAAAAGGAUCCGAGACAAGGCUUUUGUAUCGACACACUACACUUGGCCCGGCUAAUUUAUGGCCCUAGAUGCAAAAGAUAUGGCGCCAGACGAAAACGAAGGCGAUGUGGGAAUUAAAGAAGGAACUUUGCGUGGAUUGUUUUUAAACAACAACCAGUGAGCAAAAUACUGCACUUGCUGACGAUUUCCUCAAAAUUACACAGCUGUGUUCAAUGAGUUAAGUUCAGGCCAAUUCAGUUGAAGCCCUACAAAUUCUUUGUACACGUAUAUUUUACUUAAAUUUCCAUGCGGACGGCAGUACUUGUAUUGACAAAGCGUACAAGGAGAGUGUGUUUGGGCGAUUACUACGCUACCGAGGAUUUAAAAAUGUUUGGAAGUUUAUUUAUUUAGUAGAAUGUAAUAGAUUUGUAUUAAAAGUAGGAUCGCCUCUA